rnacentral:rRNA from 1 species
UACGAAGGGGGCUAGCGUUGCUCGGAAUGACUGGGCGUAAAGGGCGCGUAGGCGGUUCAUUCAGUCCGUUGUGAAAUUCCCGGGCUUAACCGGGGGGCUGCAUUUGAUACGUGUGGGCUUGAGUGAGGAAGAGGGUUGUGGAAUUCCCAGUGUAGAGGUGAAAUUCGUAGAUAUUGGGAAGAACACCGGUGGCGAAGGCGGCAACCUGGUCCUUUACUGACGCUGAGGCGCGAAAGCGUGGGGAGCAAACAGG